rnacentral:rRNA from 1 species
UUCUCUGGGCUUAACCCAGAGGGCUGCUUUCAAAACUGCCGUGCUCGAGUGCGAGAGAGGUCAGUGGAAUUGCAGGUGUAGCGGUGAAAUGCGUAGAUAUCUGCAGGAACACCCGUGGCGAAGGCGGCUGACUGGAUCGCAACUGACGCUGAGGAACGAAAGCUAGGGGAGCAAACAGGAUUAGAUACCCUGGUAGUCCUAGCCCUAAACCAUCAGGACUUGGGGUGGCCCGCGUAGGCGGGUCGUCCCGUAGCUAACGCGUUAAGUCCUGCGCCUGGGGAGUACGGUCGCAAGACUGAAACUCAAAGGAAUUGACGGGGGCCCGCACAAGCGGUGGAACAUGUGGUUCAAUUCGACGCAACGCGAAGAACCUUACCUGGGCUUGAACCGCUACUGACCAACGGUAGAAAUAUCGUCUUCCCGCAAGGGACAGUAGUAGAGGUGCUGCAUGGCUGUCGUCAGCUCGUGCCGUGAGGUGUUGGGUUAAGUCCCGCAACGAGCGCAACCCUUAUUCGUAGUUGCCACCCGCAAGGGGGAACUCUACGAGGACUGCUCCGGAUAACGGAGAGGAAGGUGGGGAUGACGUCAAGUCAGCACGGCCUUUAUGUCCAGGGCUACACACGUGUUACAAUGCGCGGCACAGACUGUUGCGAACCCGCGAGGGGGAGCUAAUCGGAAAAAACCGCGCUCAGUUCGGAUUGCAGUCUGCAACUCGACUGCAUGAAGCUGGAAUCGCUAGUAAUGGCGUAUCAGAUCGACGCCGUGAAUACGUUCCCGGGCCUUGUACACACCGCCCGUCACAUCACGAAAGUGAGCUGUACUAGAAGUCGCCCAGCCAACCGUAAGGAGGCAGGCGCCCAAGGUAUGGCCCAUGAUUGGGGCGUAACAAGGUA